rnacentral:rRNA from 1 species
UACGAAGGGGGCUAGCGUUGCUCGGAUUGACUGGGCGUAAAGGGCGCGUAGGCGGUUCGUACAGUCAGACGUGAAAUUCCUGGGCUCAACCUGGGGGCUGCGUUUGAUACGUGCGGACUUGAGUGCGGAAGAGGGUCGUGGAAUUCCCAGUGUAGAGGUGAAAUUCGUAGAUAUUGGGAAGAACACCGGUGGCGAAGGCGGCGACCUGGUCCGAUACUGACGCUGAGGCACGAAAGCGUGGGGAGCAAACAGG